rnacentral:lncRNA from 1 species
CCCAAGCUUGCACCGGGCUAACUCCCCAACCUCCACAACCAAAGAAAUUUCCAAGUUUGAUUACCACACAGUUGAAUUCUCAUUAACAGUAGUUUCAAAAACCCUGCUUCCAGGAUGCUAUGAUGCAAACACCUCCAACAAAGGUGUUUUAAAUUCGGUUACUAAAUAUUAACCUAUUUGACUAUGGCCAAAUAAAUAAAUAAAUAUAUUUGACACAUGAUAAGUUUUAAAUUAUGUUACUAAAUAUUAACCUAUUUUUUUUAUUACAAAGAACUAAACUUUAAGUCCUACCAAAUAUCUUAAUGUUGGUAAUACAGAAAGUGAAGAAACAAGUCGUUGAACAGCUACUGCAACACGAAACUUUGCCUUGAGCUUCAAAAACACAUCAAAAUUUUAAAAAUAUCAACAUUUUUAAACUUUAUAUUAAUACUCAAAUUUCUAACAAAAAUGUUAAUUUUUUUUGUGUGAGCUACCCUAAUCAUCCCAACCCUUUUUUCCAAACAAAAAUUAAAAUCUAGAAAUAGCGUCGGGGUGAAAAUCUAUACAUACCUUGUUAGGUCAAAAUUAUGUUUCUUCCCCCUUUUUCCUAAUAAGUAAUUUAUCAUAUCAGUAAUUUUCUAAGCACCCAAUAAAAAAAUUUAAAAAGAAAGAAAGAAAUGAAGUAGAACUGUCUUACCUGAGACAAUGUCGAUUAAGACUGAGAGAAGACUGAUAUUUUCUUCAAUGUGAGGAGCAGCUAAAAUAGAAGAACAAGGUAUGUAUAUUUUUUUUCAAGCAACGAAAAGACUGAGAAAGAAAAUGGACGGGAGUUUGGGAUUUCAAGUAAAGAGAAGUCUAGGAAAAAAAAGGGACAAGAUUUUGGGGUUUCA